rnacentral:rRNA from 1 species
GCACAGAGUUAGCCGUCCCUUCCUCUUUCGCUACUAUCAACUCGCCAUCUUUUAAAUCGCGAGGUUUGUUCGCAAAUGACAGGGGUUUACGAGCCGAAGCCCUUCAUCCCCCACGCGGCGUCGCUCCUUCAGGCUUGCGCCCAUUGAGAAAAAUUCUCGACUGCUGCCACCCGUAGGUGUCUGGACCGUCUCUCAGUUCCAGUGUGGCUGGUCGUCCUCUCAGACCAGCUACCCGUCUUCGCCUUGGUGAGCCGUUACCUCACCAACUAGCUGAUAGGCCGCGGGCUUAUCGCGAAGCGUCAGGCCCUUGCGGGUCCCCAACUUCAGUUGCCCCAAGAUGCCUCAUGGCAACCACAUCCGGUAUUAGCUCGCCUUUCAGCGAGUUAUCCCCAACUUCGCGGCAAAUUACCCACGUGUUACGCACCCUUGCGCCACUCCCACUAGCAAAUAUUGCUACUCGCUAAUGAUCGUUCGACUUGCAUGUCUUAUCCACGCCGCCAGCGUUCGUU